rnacentral:rRNA from 1 species
AUUGAACGCUGGCGGCAGGCCUAACACAUGCAAGUCGAGCGGAAGAAGGGAGCGUGCUCCCGGAUACAGGGGCGGAGGGGUGAGUAAGGCCGGGGAAUCUCCGUGUUUGCGGGUUAUAACGGCCGAAAAUGGGCGAAAAUACCGCAUACGUCCAGAGGGCGAACGGGGGGGAGCUGGGGACCUCACGCUCUCAGAUGAGCCGAGGUCGGAUUAGCUAGUUGGUGGGGUAAAGGCCUACCAAGGCGACGAUCCGUAGCUGGUCUGAGAGGAUGAUCAGUCACACUGGAACUGAGACACGGUCCAGACUCCUACGGGAGGCAGCAGUGGGGAAUAUUGGACAAUGGGCGCAAGCCUGAUCCAGCCAUGCCGCGUGUGUGAAGAAGGUCUUCGGAUUGUAAAGCACUUUUAGUUGGGAGGAAGAGCAGUAAGUUAAUACCUUGCUGUUUUGACGGUACCCAAAGAAUAAGCACCGGCUAACUUCGUG